rnacentral:rRNA from 1 species
UACGUAGGGUGCAAGCGUUGUCCGGAAUUAUUGGGCGUAAAGAGCUCGUAGGCGGCUUGUUGCGUCGGCUGUGAAAUCCCGAGGCUCAACCUCGGGCCUGCAGCCGAUACGGGCAGACUAGAGUUCGGCAGGGGAGACUGGAAUUCCUGGUGUAGCGGUGAAAUGCGCAGAUAUCAGGAGGAACACCGGUGGCGAAGGCGGGUCUCUGGGACGAUACUGACGCUGAGGAGCGAAAGCGUGGGGAGCGAACAGG